UAGUAAUUAAAUCUUUAUCUAACUCCUAAAAUUUCUCAAGUCUCGUCUAUUUCCUUUUCUAUUCCCGUAUCUUUAUUUCUGCCUUGGAUACCUAGGGCUUCAUCAAUAGUUCCGCCUCCAUCGUCCAUACACCACUCAAAUCUGUUCACCACUGCAUCUCACGUUGCAGUCACCAUCACUAUCUUCAAUCCUCGUUCGUUUCUUAGCCCUUCUUCUCAUUGACUUCAGUCGACAUCCACUUCAAUCGACAUCUUCAAUCGCUGCUACCUGGUCUUCAAUCGUCACCGCCAAUCGCCGCUUCUUGAUCUUCAAACAAUACUGGAACGCCGCCACCGAUCUUUUGUCACCACCGCUAAUUGCCUCCUUCUGAUCUUCAAUCGAUAUCGAAGCCACUAUCAACCUACAGAUUUACUAGUUAUUUCUUUGUUCAAUUUUUUGAACCUCAGAACUGCAUUAAAUCUCAUGUGUUAGAAGAAGGUGUAGAUGGGUGUUUGGGUGAUGUCGAUGCUUUCUUUUUGUCGCAGGUGCCUGGGGGUGGGAAGAAAAAUAUAAGUAGAUGAUUAUGUGCGUUCGGUUGGGAGUGGUAUUAACCAGGGGCAUUUUUGGUACUUUUCUUUUUCUAAACAUGUUUGGUUCUGGUUUGAUCUUUCUGAUGGCUUUAUUGAUUGGUUGGCUCAGAAUUAUAUGGCGUAAGAGGGAAGAAUUAAUUGUUUAAGGCGAGAUCGAUAUGGGGAUUUUUUGACUGAAGGGUAUUUUGGGAAUAAGGUUAAGAAUUCUAUGGCGGUGGUUGUGGGUUGGUUCUUGUUGACUCAGAUUAGCAGACAUAGAUUCAAGAAGAUGGGUGGGUUCACAAGGAUUAAAGAUUUUUUUAACUGUACAGGGAGGAUAAAGAGCGAGUUUUGGAAUAUAUAAGUUUUUUUGAUGAAUUUUGCGCCUGGUUUGAUAUGCGAGGUGAUAGGAUUGAAGAUUUUCUUAUGUGGCAGGCCUUAAAUGAAGUUCUUUUUUAUUAUUUUGUCAAUUCUUGGAAGCAGGGGCUUUGUAGUCAUUCUACUAUGAAUUUAUUCAUGUGUAUUCAUUUAUGAAUAACGUUGUAGUUAGGUGUGAAUGGUUGUAUUCAUUUAUGAAUAGCACGUGUCUUCAUUUACGAUAGAAUGUGUAUUAAUUUAUAAAUAACAGUGUACUCAUUUGUGAAUAGCAAUGUAUUCGUAUGUGAAUGAUUGUAUUUA